rnacentral:rRNA from 1 species
UACGUAGGGUGCAAGCGUUGUCCGGAAUUAUUGGGCGUAAAGAGCUCGUAGGCGGCUUGUCACGUCGACUGUGAAAACCCAGGGCUCAACCCUGGGCCUGCAGUCGAUACGGGCAGGCUAGAGUGUGGUAGGGGAGACUGGAAUUCCUGGUGUAGCGGUGAAAUGCGCAGAUAUCAGGAGGAACACCGGUGGCGAAGGCGGGUCUCUGGGCCAUAACUGACGCUGAGGAGCGAAAGCGUGGGGAGCGAACAGG